rnacentral:rRNA from 1 species
AUUGAACGCUGGCGGCAGGCCUAACACAUGCAAGUCGAGCGGCAGCGCGGGGGCAACCCUGGCGGCGAGCGGCGAACGGGUGAGUAAUACAUGGGAAUCUGCCUGGUAGUGGGGGAUAACUCUGGGAAACUAGAGGUAAUACCGCAUACGUCCUACGGGAGAAAGGGGGGAGUCUUCGGACCUCUCGCUAUCAGAGGAGCCCAUGUCUGAUUAGCUAGUUGGUGAGGUAAAGGCUCACCAAGGCGACGAUCGGUAACUGGUCUGAGAGGAUGGUCAGUCACACUGGAACUGAGACACGGUCCAGACUCCUACGGGAGGCAGCAGUGGGGAAUAUUGGACAAUGGGGGGCAACCCUGAUCCAGCCAUGCCGCGUGUGUGAAGAAGGCC